AGUUGGUGCAUGGCCGUUCUUAGUUGGUGGAGCGAUUUGUCAGGUUAAUUCCGGUAACGAACGUAACUCUAGCCUAUUAAAUAGACGCACAAUCGGUAUCACGAGGGUCCGCUCCCGUAUGCUCAGCCCGAGCGCGCGCCCGCGCGCGCGACGGCGGCUGCGAUUGCGGUGCUUUCACUACCGGCGUAAAAUGAAAAUCUUCUUAGAGGGACCGGCGGUAUAUAUAGCCGCACGAGAUUGAGCAAUAGCAGGUCUGUGAUGCCCUU
rnacentral:rRNA from 1 species